AGGGAAUCUUCCGCAAUGGGCGAAAGCCUGACGGAGCAACGCCGCGUGAGUGAUGAAGGUCUUCGGAUCGUAAAACUCUGUUAUUAGGGAAGAACAUAUGUGUAAGUAACUGUGCACAUCUUGACGGUACCUAAUCAGAAAGCCACGGCUAACUACGUGCCAGCAGCCGCGGUAAUACGUAGGUGGCAAGCGUUAUCCGGAAUUAUUGGGCGUAAAGCGCGCGUAGGCGGUUUUUUAAGUCUGAUGUGAAAGCCCACGGCUCAACCGUGGAGGGUCAUUGGAAACUGGAAAACUUGAGUGCAGAAGAGGAAAGUGGAAUUCCAUGUGUAGCGGUGAAAUGCGCAGAGAUAUGGAGGAACACCAGUGGCGAAGGCGACUUUCAGGUCUGUAACUGACGCUGAUGUGCGAAAGCGUGGGGAUCAAACAGGAUUAGAUACCCUGGUAGUCCACGCCGUAAACGAUGAGUGCUAAGUGUUAGGGGGUUUCCGCCCCUUAGUGCUGCAGCUAACGCAUUAAGCACUCCGCCUGGGGAGUACGACCGCAAGGUUG
rnacentral:rRNA from 1 species